rnacentral:misc_RNA from 1 species
GAGUGCCUUAUCCUUGCAAGUGAUGGUUUGUGGGAUGUCAUGACAAAUCAAGAGGUAUGUGACAUUGCAAGAAGAAGAAUCCUUCUUUGGCAUAAAAGAAAUGGUGAUGCAUUGUCUGCAGAAAGGGGCGAGGGAAUCGAUCCUGCUGCUCAAGCUGCAGCAGAAUACCUCUCCAAGCUUGCGCUUCAGAAGGGGAGCAAAGACAAUAUCACUGUUAUUGUGGUGGACUUAAAAGCUCAACGAAAAUUAAAGAAGAAAGCUUGAUAGUAAAUAGUGUGCUCACCCCCAUCAAUUGAAAAAUUUUCAAUUACUAUAGUAAGUGAUAAAGGGAAUAUAUCCUUUUCUUCAUAACUUCAUAUGUAUCUAAAGAAACUUGAUUUAGCCCAUCAAUUUUUGUCAUUUGGGCUAAACGUAAUGCCUGUCAUUGCUCUUUUCUGCUAAUCUGAAGCAGC